rnacentral:rRNA from 1 species
AUGAAUAUCCAAUCCCUUUAUGUAGAUGCAAAUAAUUCAUAUGGUGUUACUAGAUCAUUCAAUGAGUAUACUCUGUCGGUCAACCCUAGUUUGUUCAAUCAUGCAACUAAUUACGUGCAAGGGCCGAUUCAAAGUAAUUUGCAUGCUUUAAGUUCUUAUGAUACUAGUAACCUACACCAUAUGUAUCCCAACUCUCAUGCAUCGGCAACCCCACAAAUUGUUAUGCCGAUGAACAACAUGGUGAGUUCAGUUAAUAAAUUUGAAACACCUCAUGUUAGAAUUUCCAAUGCCAUGCAAGAAAGUGUUUCACCCUUUUAUUCAUCGGCAAGUAAUGUGCAAUAUACUAAUCCAACCAUGCCGAUGAACGAGAGAAUUGGCCAUGCUGCUACUAGUUAUUCGGCCAGUUACUCUCAAACGUCAUAUGCUACACCUCAUGUUAGUAAUUCUUCGGCACCAUACACAACUGUAGAUGCUCAUAAUUCGGCUUCACACCUUCCUGGUUAUAGCCGAAUGAAUGUAAAUUUUACAGGAGCGGUUGUGCCCAAUAUUGUAGAAGAUGAGGUAGUGGUGGCUGCAUUGAAGAGUUUAGCCCAAAAUAAGAGAAUUAGUGCUCUUUGCCUUGAACAACAUGAAAAGGGGCUAUUUCCUGAUUAUGCCGCAAUAAAAGCUAGAGUUUUGCAAGAAGAUGAAUUUUUGCCAAUUGAUAAAAUUGGCGAGCAAAAGUAUGGUCUUACAACAAUGCAUAUGCCUUCACCUAGUACUACAUCAUAUUAUACACCCCCUACACAAUUGGAAAAUUUUGGCAACACCCAUGUGUCAUUGCCGAAAGAAUCUAAAAGCAUUGGGGGGCAAUCAUAUCCGAAGUGGGCUGAAAUUGAGAAAAAGCUUAAAGCUAAUUUUGCCGCUCGCCGUCAGAAACAAAUAGAAAAAGAAUUGGCUCAGAUAAAAGAAGCAUUGCCAAUUGGUAGUAUCAAUGAAAAGAAGGAUAAUUCGGAACAUGAAAGUGCUUCGGUUGAAAAAGCUGAAUCAAGUAGUAUAUGUUCUGAAUCCAUCAAAUCCAAUGAGGCAAGCAUUAUCGAGAAAGGGCAUGGCAAGCAUAGGAAAACAACGGUGCUUGAUUUUUCUGAAGUCAAUGGAACCUACUUCCUGCCCUAUGAGUUCCAUGCCGUAGAAAUUGACAAGCUUCAAAGACAAGAACAAGUAGCCGAACAAAGUUCGGCCGACAAAAAUCUCUAA